rnacentral:rRNA from 1 species
UACGUAGGGUGCAAGCGUUAAUCGGAAUUACUGGGCGUAAAGCGUGCGCAGGCGGUUGUGCAAGACAGAUGUGAAAUCCCCGGGCUCACCUGGGAACUGCAUUUGUGACUGCACAGCUUGAGUGCGGCAGAGGGGAUGGAAUUCCGGCGUGUAGCAGUGAAAUGCGUAGAUAUGCGGAGGAACACCGAUGGCGAAGGCAAUCCCCGUGGGCCUGCACUGACGCUCAUGCACGAAAGCGUGGGGAGCAAACAGG